rnacentral:rRNA from 1 species
GACAGAGGGGGCAAGCGUUGCUCGGAAUUACUGGGCGUAAAGCGCACGUAGGCGGCUUAGCAAGUCGGAUGUGAAACCCCUCGGCUCAACCAAGGAAGUGCAUCCGAAACUGCUGAGCUUGAGUACGAAAGAGGAUCGCGGAAUUCCCGGUGUAGAGGUGAAAUUCGUAGAUAUCGGGAGGAACACCAGUGGCGAAGGCGGCGAUCUGGGUCGAUACUGACGCUGAGGUGCGAAAGCGUGGGGAGCAAACAGG